rnacentral:lncRNA from 1 species
CUUAGGUUUAAGCUAUAGUAAGACAGCUCUUUAUGUGAUGAGAUAAAAUCAUCGUGAUAUGAUCUGUUCUCUUUCAGUGUUUGUUGAGGAACCCACUGGUGCUGACAGAGGCAAUUUGCAAAGUGACAGAGUCCAUGACACUUAAGUCAUCUUCAUACUUUUUGCCCAAAUAUUUACAAAGUCAAUAUUUAAUAAAGUCGAAACUUGCCACUAGGCUCACAGGAUUUAUUAUCGUUCCAGGAGUUAUAAUUGGCCGUUUUCUUGGAGGUUUAAUUGUUGACAAAUUGGAAAUUUCUUGUAAGAACAAAUUGAAAUUUAUACUGCUGACAUCUAUUGUAUCAAGUGUGCUUUUCCUAUUAAAUUUUUUGUGGAGUGUGAAACAUCAAAAUUUGCUGGAAUCAAUGAAGAUUAUGAUGGGAUGCAAUGCUGCUAAAGAACUAAACACAGAAAAGGAAAAGACAUACUACAAUUGUUCUUGCAUUAAAGAAGGGUUGACCACUCCAGAUGCCGAUGGACAAUUUAUUGAUGCUACUUCUGGAUCAGGUAAUACCAAAUGUCUUACAUUACCUUUGUUUUUUCCUUUUUACUUUU